rnacentral:piRNA from 2 species
GCAAUUCUUCUGCCCUUGCACCGU